rnacentral:lncRNA from 1 species
GUAUGACUUCAAAUGUUGCCACAAGAAAUUGCUCAGCUACACACUUAUCAUUGAAACUUGGCCGCAUCUGAGAGGUACCGCAUUGUGACAUCCCAGAAGACUAUGCAUUUCGACAGAGGAGCACUGUUUAGGGGUCCUGCUUUCCUUUCUUGCUCAUAGGAAGUUACAAAAAGGUGGGAGACAAAAGUAUGGUGAAGUGGGAGGGGCUGGCUUUCUUGAGGACACCCUGGCAUUUGUUGCACAUCCACCGUGUGUAAGAUACAAACACUGUGCACACAGCAUCUCACCAGGCCUUCGGCAUAGGUACCAUUCCCAUCUUACACGUGGCGACAGCUGGAAUGGAGAAGGCCACUUGACCAGGUGGGUGUCGCUUGCACGCUGCAGUGCUGGAGUUAGACCCUGUUCCUUCUGGCUCUGAAACCCAUUCCGCUUCUGCUCCUACCAUCUACUAUUCACUGGGGAGUGGUACUGACUGACACAGGUGGUCCUGGCAGAGAUCGUCUUUGUCUCUUAUACUUUUAUAAGCCUGGGAAGAAGCUGUCACUGUGCAUGAUGUUAUCACCUGGAUAACUUUGUCCAGUGAAAUGCAAAAUUCACAGAGACAUGGAUCUGCUUUAAAAAAACUUUUUUUUAAUGUUACUGAUUUUUAUGGCUUACAUGGUUGUGGGGGAGUGAUGGGGACACAAUGUGCACACACACACAGCUGGUAUGUCGCCUGAUAGGAUAGUUUCCUUUCUUUUGUAGGAAAGGCUCUGCUAACUUAUGAAACCAAGACCACACAGAAUGUAAAUUAUGCAGAAACCAACUACCUCGAGACUCCUUCCUUGAAAUCUAUCUCGAUCUGCUUGCUCUGGUCGCCAGGUCAGGGCAGUGAACUGCCUCGGGGUUGAGGUGUGAGUCCCAAAGGGGAAGGAAGCCAGUCCCUCCCAACCCAGGAAACUCAGCUGACCCUUCAGAGUGCAGGCCCCAGAAAGUCCAAGCUCCCAAGGCCAUCCAGGCCCUGGCGCCUUAUCCGGCCAUCAGACCCAGCCUUGUGAGCCCCGCAUGGGGUGUUCGGGUAUAGGGGGUGGGGGCAAAGUUCCCCCUUUCUUCUGCUGUUCCCUGCUGUGACCCAUGGGCCUUGGAGAGCUUUGAGGCUGGUGGGGGCAGCGUGAUCUGGAACCCCGCCAUGAGCCUCAUCCCUGGAGCGGCUGACCCAAGUUGCUCGGGCGACACCGGCCUGGAAGCUGGCCUUGACUCUAUCUAAUCCAACAGGCUUACACGUCACGUGGCCCGGUCCAAAAAUAACACACAUCAGGGGGACCUUGGGGACACCAGGCCCAGCUAGUGAGAGGCCCCACAAGCCCAGGAGCCCGCUUUCCUGUUUGCGUUCCUGGCUAUCGCCUCUCGGCGCUCGUCUGGCCUUUCUGUUUCCUCAGGGUACCGAGGUCCCAACCGCUGUCCCUACUCAGCUGCGUCCUGCAGAGGCUCUCCUCCAGGGACCCCGCGUCCCACGGUCCCGGCAUCCACGUCACACAGAAUUUGCGGCCAGAAUUCUCAUGAGUAGGCAGAGGAAAUUGUCACCAAGUGACUGCAGGGCUUGGAGUCAGGAGCACUGGGAUGAAUGGCUCAGCUUCUGAUUCCAGAACCUAUCUAAUGCCAUCAGGAUGGUGGCCAAUGCCAGCAUCACAGCUCCUUUUUAAUCA